GACGAACGCUGGCGGUGUGCUUAACACAUGCAAGUCGAACGGUAAGGCCCUUUCGGGGGUACACGAGUGGCGAACGGGUGAGUAACACGUGAGUAACCUGCCCUCAUCUCUGGGAUAACAGUCGGAAACGGUUGCUAAUACUGGAUAUGAGCUUGCAAGGCAUCUUGUGGGUUGGAAAGAUUUUUUUUGGUUGGGGAUGGACUCGCGGCCUAUCAGCUUGUUGGUGAGGUAGUAGCUCACCAAGGCUUCGACGGGUAGCCGGCCUGAGAGGGCGACCGGCCACAUUGGGACGGAGAUACGGCCCAAACUCCUACGGGAGGCAGCAGUGGGGAAUAUUGCACAAUGGACGGAAGUCUGAUGCAGCAACGCCGCGUGCGGGAUGACGGCCUUCGGGUUGUAAACCGCUUUCAAUUGUGACGAAGCUUUUUUGUGACGGUAGCAGUAGAAGAAGCACCGGCUAACUACGUG
rnacentral:rRNA from 1 species